AGUCAAACGCCGGUUCGCACAGUCUUAACGUUCGGGAGAUCACAAUGUCGUAUUUAAAAAAGCUUUGCACAAUAUUCAUUUUUCAUGUAUUCUUUUCACAUUCUGAUUGCAAUCAAAUUGCAGAGUUUAGUGAGGCUAAAGCACUAGUAGCCGAGUUGAGAGCGGAGGUGGAACGUCAGGGAAAGUUGCUUCAAGAACUAAUCGGGAACCGCAAUCUAAAUUCCUUAGAGCCUCACGCACACAGCUGCUAUGAAGCAGCAGGUCGAGCUAGCGGUAUUUUUAAAAUACAAGUUCCCGGUUUUAGCCUCAAGCCGUUCAAGGUUGCAUGCGAAACAAACGAUCACGGUGACGGCUGGACGAUAAUAUUGCGACGCCAGGACGGAAGUGAGGACUUUUAUCGUAAUUGGAAUGACUACAAAAAUGGCUUUGGCGACCUGGAAGGUGAGUUCUUUAUGGGCUUGGGAAAACUCCAUGCAAUAACUGCCGCUCAAAGACAAGCUGGUUCUACUAGAGAACGAGGACGGGGAAACAUCAUACGAGAAGUAUAAUAGGUUUGCGAUUGGAGAUGAAUUGGAAUCAUUCGCGUUACACACGCUUGGGAAUGCGAAUGGAACUGCUGGGGAUUCACUCAAAUAUCAUCAUGGUCAAAAAUUUACGACUUUUGAUCGGGAUAAUGAUUCUGAUCAGCUGAAAAACUGUGCGAAGACUUACAGUGCUGCCUGGUGGUACAAUUCCUGUUAUAUGAGCAACUUAAAUGGAAAAUAUAAUGAUAACGACAAGGGCGUACAUUGGGCAACCUUUAAAGAUGUGGAACACUCAUUAAAACGAGCAGUCAUGAUGAUGCGGCCGAUAAUUGAAUCUCAAAUUGCAUAUUGAUGUUCUGAAUUCUUAUGUAGACAUAAUAAAUAAAAUGAAAAUUUCUUAAGCAGAUCAGUUCUGGAUUCCGAUAACGGUUAAA